rnacentral:rRNA from 4 species
UACGGAGGAUGCAAGCGUUAUCCGGAAUGAUUGGGCGUAAAGCGUCCGCAGGUGGCAAUGUAAGUCUGCUGUCAAAGCGUCUGGCUCAACCAGAUAAAGGCAGUGGAAACUACAUAGCUAGAGUAAGGUAGGGGUAGAGGGAAUUCCUGGUGUAGCGGUGAAAUGCGUAGAGAUCAGGAAGAACACCGGUGGCGAAAGCGCUCUGCUGGACCUUAACUGACACUGAGGGACGAAAGCUAGGGGAGCGAAUGGG